rnacentral:rRNA from 1 species
GAUGAACGCUAGCGGCAGGCCUAAUACAUGCAAGUCGAACGGGAUUAAGAGGCUUGCUUCUUAUGAGAGUGGCGCACGGGUGCGUAACACGUAUGCAACCUACCUUCAACUGGGGGAUAGCCUUCCGAAAGGGAGAUUAAUACCGCAUAAAAUAAUUGAGUGGCAUCACUUGAUUAUCAAACGUCAGGGUUGAAGAUGGGCAUGCGUCCGAUUAGUUUGCUGGUGAGGUAACGGCUCACCAAGACUACGAUCGGUAGGGGAUCUGAGAGGAUGGCCCCCCACACUGGUACUGAGACACGGACCAGACUCCUACGGGAGGCAGCAGUAAGGAAUAUUGGUCAAUGGACGGAAGUCUGAACCAGCCAUGCCGCGUGCAGGAAGACGGUCCUCUGGAUUGUAAACUGCUUUUGUUAGGGAAGAAACUUCCGUACGUGUACGGGACUGACGGUACCUAAAGAAUAAGGAUCGGCUAGCUCCGUGCCAGCCGCCGCGGUAAGAC